UGGGGAAUUUUGGACAAUGGGCGCAAGCCUGAUCCAGCCAUUCCGCGUGCAGGAUGAAGGCCCUCGGGUUGUAAACUGCUUUUGNACGGACGAAAAGGCUUUCUCUAAUACAGAGAGCUCAUGACGGUACCGUAAGAAUAAGCACCGGCUAACUACGUGCCAGCAGCCGCGGUAAUACGUAGGGUGCAAGCGUUAAUCGGAAUUACUGGGCGUAAAGCGUGCGCAGGCGGUGAUGUAAGACAGAUGUGAAAUCCCCGGGCUCAACCUGGGAACUGCAUUUGUGACUGCAUCGCUGGAGUGCGGCAGAGGGGGGAUGGAAUUCCGCGUGUAGCAGUGAAAUGCGUAGAUAUGCGGAGGAACACCGAUGGCGAAGGCAAUCCCCUGGGCCUGCACUGACGCUCAUGCACGAAAGCGUGGGGAGCAAACAGGAUUAGAUACCCUGGUAGUCCACGCCCUAAACGAUGUCAACUGGUUGUUGGGUCUUCACUGACUCAGUAACGAAGCUAACGCGUGAAGUUGACCGCCUGGGGAGUACGGCCGCAAGGUUGAAACUCAAA
rnacentral:rRNA from 1 species